rnacentral:rRNA from 1 species
AUUGAACGCUGGCGGCAGGCCUAACACAUGCAAGUCGAGCGGAUGAAGGGAGCUUGCUCCUGGAUUCAGCGGCGGACGGGUGAUAAUGCCUAGGAAUCUGCCUGGUAGUGGGGGAUAACGUCCGGAAACGGGCGCUAAUACCGCAUACGUCCUGAGGGAGAAAGUGGGGGAUCUUCGGACCUCACGCUAUCAGAUGAGCCUAGGUCGGAUUAGCUAGUUGGUGGGGUAAAGGCCUACCAAGGCGACGAUCCGUAACUGGUCUGAGAGGAUGAUCAGUCACACUGGAACUGAGACACGGUCCAGACUCCUACGGGAGGCAGCAGUGGGGAAUAUUGGACAAUGGGCGAAAGCCUGAUCCAGCCAUGCCGCGUGUGUGAAGAAGGUCUUCGGAUUGUAAAGCACUUUAAGUUGGGAGGAAGGGCAGUAAGUUAAUACCUUGCUGUUUUGACGUUACCAACAGAAUAAGCACCGGCUAACUUCGUG